GAAAUACUCCCCCGUCCCAAAAUUCUUGUCUUAGAUUUGUCUAAAUACGGAUGUAUCAAGUCACAUUUUCAUAUUAGAUACAUCCGUAUCUAGACUAAUCUAAGACAAGAAUUUUGGGACAGAGGGAGUAUAAG
rfam:Triticum aestivum genome assembly, contig: Triticum_aestivum_CS42_TGACv1_scaffold_545898_6DS